CUAGGGGCCUUCCCAUGCCUUUGGUCAUUGCCCACGUCCCCUCACCUGACAUGAAGAACUUGUGAGGAUCUCUGUCAUCCAUGGAAUAGGGGGAAACCUUGGGAGGGAAGUUGAUCAAAGAAAAAUAGGGCUAUCAAGUUCAGCCCCUGUGCUCUGACACAAGCUCCCAGGGCAGGGAGGUGUAGCUGGCAGUCGAGCCCACAUUCCUAUACCCGAAGCUAUGCUGCUCAUGGCCACCCCCAGCCUACGCACAGGACCCUUACUUAAGCCCUCAUCUGAGCACCUGCCUGAGGAGAUGUGGACUCUGCUCUUUGGGAGUCUCGGUUAAAGCUUGACAGUUACUGAAUACCUCCUACAAUCUGGACCAUCAUCCAUUCAAUGAACAUGCCGCGCUCUGCUAGGCACACUCCACGGUGGCAGAAUGUACUGUGUAGGAAUUGGAAAAGCUAAGCUCCACAUGACUUCGGCAGACUGUGACAGUGUCUGAUCUGACCAAGCACGCAUGGCUGACUUCUCGGGAAUUGCACAGGAGCACUGCGUCCUAAGGAAUACAUUUCAUGUUCCUCACUGUUCUGCCAAGAGCAGCCUUGAACCUUAAUUUUGUUCUGCCAAGCAGCCAGGAACUUCAGGGAAGCUUGGAGCCAGCUCUAGGAGUGAGUCUUGAUUAGUCUAAGCCCAUUGUAGUGGUCCCAUGCCCCUUGCUAGUGAUAGGUUUGCCUGGGCUUGUGGCAUUCUGGCAGUAUGAGGGGAGGUCUUCUAGGAUUAGGGAGGGUCCUGGGAGGAGCUUCUUUGCUCUUAAAAAAGACGUACAACAAGGCUGGCCGAGUGGCGCCAUGGUUAAGAACUGGCUUGGGAUGCCAGAGGGCCCCGGUUCAGAUCCCACAUAUG